AAUUUCCCCCCUGAAAUCCCUAAUCUUCCCAUGGCCGACAAUAUUUUCUCAUAGAAAAUAUUUUAUUCUCCCUCCAUGUUCCAAUCUUUUUAGUUCCCUUCCCAUUACAAAACAGUUUUCCAUUCCAAACCCUAACAAACGUUUAACAAAAAAACACCCUUCUUCAUCGUUUUGAACUCCUCCAUCGUUUUCUCUACUUCCCCUCCUUCUUCUGCUCUCCAAUGGCUAUCCCCGCCGCAAACGUUUAACAAAAAAACACCCUUUUGUUUAUACCCAAUGCCAAUGUAUCCACGCGCGUUCCAUUUUCCCGUGUCAAGACACUCCCGCGGCGAGAAUCCGUUGCUCUGCUUUGCUCAAAGUCCCUCGAAAGUUAUCCGCCGUUUCAAGUGAAUACUUUUCAUUCUUCCUUUAAUUUUUGCCUAACAAUAAGCUCAUCACUCCGUCAAUCUUGUUUGUCGUUUUCAAAUAGACCCCUUAUUUUUGUUGGAGAUGUUGGGGCUGUUGCAGGGAUAAGAUGAGGUCAUCGAGGAAGAAUCAAGCGUCGUCAAGCAGCGGAGGUGGAGGAGGUGAAGGGAAUCAAGACGGGAUUACGGAUGAAGAAGCUCUUUCCAAUAUCACCAAACAAAAAGUCGCUGCUGCCAAGCAGUAUAUUGAGAAUCAUUACAAGGAACAGAUGAAUCUUCAAGACAGAAAAGAGAGCAGAAGCAUGAGGCAGGGUUUGCUAUCAAGUGGUCUAUUGACGAACAUUAUAUAUUGGAGGACAGCCUUGAAAAGUAUAAAGAUGAGCCAAGUAUUAUGAAGUACAUAAAGAUUGCAGCUACCUUGCCUGAUAAAACUGUACGUGAUGUUGCAUUGAGGUGUUGAUGGAUGCAAGCCCAUGCAUGAAGUUACAUUUUCAACACAAGACAAAACCAAAACUUCUUAGUCAGUUAGUGAAUCCGGAGAGUGGCUAUAAUUAUAGAGCUGUCAAAAGAUAGACUUCACAAAGGAAGCUGGGUUACUGCCUAUUGGACUGUGAUAAAGAGCACAUGCCCUAUGCCAUAUUUUCGUUUAAGGACCGCCAAGGAAAUUCUGAAACUGAAAGCUGAUUGAUCGGAUGUGUAUGUCGACUUUCAUCAACUACUUUCGAAGGCCUUACUAGGAAUUGAAAUGGUGUGCAAAGAGAUCGCUUCUUCUGAUAUGAUUUUUCAAAAUAAAUACUGGACAAAGUAUGGAUAUUUCUUGUCAGUUGCAUUUACUGCUAUUAGUAAAAUAGGAUUUUCUUCUUGAUCUUAGUUUCUUCACUUGUAUUAGACUCAACAAUGGCUUACAUUGCAUUGGUGUUGAUUUUACCUAAAUUUCGAGGUUUACAAUUUUUAAUUUUUAUUAAUUAUUUACGUUUUCUCA